CUGAAAUCGUCUGUUGGAGCAGUGUGAUGUUCCGAAUGUCUCAGUAGAGUACUUUAUAAAUAUUUGUUACUACUCUCAGGUAGCAGUGAGCUGAAGUCAUCUCUAUCAGUGGGGGUAACGAUUUAAAAUGCCAUUUAUGCAACAGCUUUACUGCUAAGAGUUAUUUUGCUUUUUUGUUAGGUUUACUUGUGUUUAUGGAACAAAUUUGAGUAGUACCAAGCAGUUUGGAGAAUUUGGAACUAGAACUCCAAAGAAAAGAUGCUCAAGGAUGUGUGCAAAUUCAAACCUAAGACUGGAAAGGAAUGAAGAUGUCACAGGGGUUCUGCUUUAAGGAAUCCGAAGCUCUGGUGUCAGCAGAAUUGAUGAGCUCUGCCCCUGGGGAACACCAACACAACUUCAUUGAAAGAGUUACAGGGAUUUCAUGUUUCGGAGGAAUUAUAUACAGAGGUUUCUGUUUGAAGGUAUAUUCAAAUACUACUUCAAACUGAGGUUUAAGGUUGAAUAUUUCAAAAUUAGGAAGACGUCAUUGAAACCCAGCAACAGUUGGCGAUUCAGCAAUUAUUAAGUCUUCAGAGAAACAUAGCUCUUCUGUAACAUGGUUAUUGAAGUAGUGUGGCUCCACUUCAAUAAGCAAAAAAAGAGACAGCAUUCCUCUUUAGAAAACUCAAAGGCAUUACUUAUUUAAUUAAUAGGUAAGGAAAGUCUUGAGCAGAAAAAAAGUAGUCCCUGAGAUGUAUUCAAUUAGCCUUUUGUGCCUAUUCUUUUGCUAACUUUUACAAGGCAUCUAAUCAUAUAUUUAAGUACAUGUGUGUGCUUUAUUUUUUCUUUCUUUAUCUUAAUGGAACUACACCUUCAUAGUAAACUUUUUAUUAUUUGAAAUACUUACAUGUGUUAAAAUGAAGUUAUCACUUCUUAUUGUGGACUAUAAUUAGUCAAAGAGGAAUAAUGUAAAAUGUCACAUAGGACUGAGUCAAUUUUGAAAAUGGGCUUUUCAAGAUAGAUUCUGAAACUCCCUGUGCUGGUCAAGGUCAGCGUAGGGGAAAACCAUAAUUAUAGAUUUCUCAGACCUAGCAAUUCAAAAAAUAUAGAGAGUAGCUAAGGUUCUAAUUGUAAUUGGAUAGGGUGAUUUCUCUUCAUACAGUGAUACUUAAUUCGUACAUCAUUCUGCAUGUGGGAUUAGCUAAACUUCCAGUCUAAUAGUCAUUCUAAAGCCAGAGAGGAAAUGGAGCAAAGCAAAAUACAGUUCUUCAGGGAUUUCUAGUCUAAUAAUGUCAUUAUGAUAGCACGCAGAGUAUGACUGCAUCUUUAAAAUCUUCUAAAGCAAGGGACGCACACCACUGCUGGAAUGCACAAUGGUUUGGAGUGGUGCAAGGUGAGAUAUUUCCUUUUUAUUAUUUGUUUUUAAUAUGUGUUAGAUAUAACCCAGGAUUUCACCUAUAUUAUUGCCGAACAUGAAGCUAAAGUAAAAAAAAAUGAAUAAAAAAACUAUUAAGCAAAUAACAGCACAGCUAUUUUAUGAAUGUUGUAGAACUCGUGAAGGUAGUAUGCAAAUGACUGAAAUUGGGAACAAUAAAGUUGUGUUCAUUCAUCCAACAAAUAUUUAUUGAAUACUGUGUUUCCUCCACACAUAUGGAAUAGGAAGAUAUCAAAAUAUAAGAUAGUCAAGGUCUUAGCCCUUGUGGAUCCCACAUUUUGGGUCAUACCGCUAGUGGUUCCAC
rnacentral:lncRNA from 1 species